ensembl:lncRNA
UCUGAUUUCACAGGCAGAGAAGGUCUUCCUCAGAGGAGAGAUCCUUGGCCCAGAGCAACAGGCCCACUAGCCUGGUGGAGAAGACUGAAGGCAAGGUGGAUCGAAAAAGCCAUGGGCAAGGACCGUAGAUGCUGGGCGAAGAGGCUUCAUGUGGCCAAGGAUUUUCCUGCCAUUAAAUCUGGAGAAAGAAAAAUAAGCACUCAAACCUGCACAAGCAAGUAUUCCUCCUCUACUCCUGCUCACCACCCCACCCCAUCCCCUUUCCUUCUCUGUCGGACCAUUUGUAGCCUCUGUGGCUGCCGGACUCGGGAGAUGGAUAGGCUGGGGCAGGCGAAGGGCACCUUGGAGGAGGAGCAGGACCAGGCAGACCCUCAGGACAGUAAGCGACAUUUGGGGACUAUUCACAGAAUGCUUUUCCGCAGCUGUUUCCUCUCUGGCCAUUUGCUUGCUGGGUUGUCAGUCCGUCUGCAUUGCUGUCACGGUUUUAGUCCGACCAAGGGUUUCCAAACAUAUCCGAGCUGUCAGUGUGGGGGGAGCUUCUGAUUGGCUGUUGUUACUGGUUUCUCUUAACCCAAUACCAACAUGAAUGAGGAGAAAUGAGUAUGAGGAAGAAGAGGGCAAUGGCAGGGCAUUCAGGAGAAAGUGGGGAGUUAUGGGGAGGGCCCUGUGUGUCCUGGUUCUCAAGAGUCCAGUCAUGGGCACUUGGUGACCUGUGCUGUCUCCCCUCAGGGAGGGAUUCCACGGCUGGAUGGUUCUAAGCCACCAGGGGCGUGAAAGGCCACGGGAUGCUGCUGCUGCUGCUGCAUGGUGAGUUCCAAGGCUUGCUCCUUCUUGACCCCCCAGCAGACAGCUGUCAGUGGGUGCAGGGGUUGGAAAGCCCAUAGAAGAUUCUAGAAGAUGCAUGGAACCCACAGGGCUUCUACCCAAGGAACUUGGUCUUCAAGUGGCUUCCAUGAGAGCUGUACAUGGACACCAGUUCUGAUUACGUUUCACUGAACUGUUAUCGGGGGGGAGGGAUUGGAGAAGGAGAUAAAACAGAGCAGGCAAUGGGUUUUGUUUGUUUAAAUAUAAGAUUCCUGGGGCACUUGGGUGGCUCAGUAGGUUGAGUGUAAGACUCUUAUUUCGGCUCAGGUCAUGAUCUCAUAGUUUGCGGGAUCGAGCCCCACAUCAGGUUCUGUGCUGACAGCAUAGAGUCUGCUUGGGAUUCUCUCUCUCUCUCCCUUUUUCUGCCACUCACUCACUCUCUCUCUCUCUCUCUCUGUCUCUCAAGAUCAAUAAACAUUAAAAAAACCCCACAAAAUUCCUGAGCCAUAUAUAAUGUAAACUUUUGGUGGUUUUCAAUUUCACAUAUGAAUUCAUUGGUGUAAUCACCAAAAACUCCAUUAGUUUUCUAAUCAUGUUGUUUGAAGCUCAUUCAGUUAAGAAAAAAAAUCUCUUAAACCAUCUUCUUAAAGGAAGAAGAAAAAAUGAAAAUAGGGGUGCCUGGGUGGCUCAGUUGGUUGAGCAUCUGACUUUGGGUCAGGUCAUAAUCUCAUGGUUCGUGGUUUCAAGCCCUGCAUCUGGCUCUGUGCUGACACUGUGGAGCCUGCUUGGGAUUCUGUUUCUCCCUUUCUUUCUGCCCCUCCCCCACUUGUGCUCUGUCUCUCUUUUUCUGUCU